rnacentral:rRNA from 1 species
UACGUAGGGUGCGAGCGUUAAUCGGAAUUACUGGGCGUAAAGCGUGCGCAGGCGGCGCGUUAAGACAGGUGUGAAAGCCCCGAGCUUAACUUGGGAAUUGCGCUUGUGACUGGCGUGCUGGAGUGUGGCAGAGGGAGGUGGAAUUCCACGUGUAGCAGUGAAAUGCGUAGAGAUGCGGAGGAACACCGAUGGCGAAGGCAGCCCCCUGGGCUAACACUGACGCUCAGGCACGAAAGCGUGGGGAGCAAACAGG